rnacentral:rRNA from 1 species
GACGAACGCUGGCGGCGUGCUUAACACAUGCAAGUCGAGCGGGUAAGGCCCUUUCGGGGGUACGACGAGCGGCGAACGGGUGAGUAACACGUGGGUGACCUGCCCUCAGCUCUGGGAUAAGCCUGGGAAACCGGGUCUAAUACUGGAUAUGACUCCAUGACGCAUGUUGUGGGGUGGAAAGCCUUGUGCGGCUGAGGAUGGGCCCGCGGCCUAUCAGCUUGUUGGUGGGGUGAGGCCUACCAAGGCGACGACGGGUAGCCGGCCUGAGAGGGCGACCGGCACACUGGGACUGAGACACGGCCCAGACUCCUACGGGAGGCAGCAGUGGGGAAUCUUGCGCAAUGGGCGAAAGCCUGACGCAGCGACGCCGCGUGAGGGAUGACGGCCUGGUUGUAAC